GGGUGAUUAGCUCAGCGGUAGAGCACUGCCUUCACACGGCAGGGGUCACAAGUUCGAACCUUGUAUCACCCA
rnacentral:tRNA from 1 species